ACCUCUACAAGACAGCCGGUCCAAUGUUUCUUUAAAUCGUCACUAGAGAGCAUCAACGUUCGAAUGAAAAUCUAUUACAUUUUCCUAUAUGUUAUAUUACUAAUUUUUACAUAAUUGUAAAAGAUUUCCUUAUAAAUUCUAUUAUAAAGAGCAUGUCAAUUCAUUUUUUUUAUUUUACAAUCAUAUACGAUUCAGAAAACAACUAAAUUUGUUUGGACUUUGAUUAAUUAACUGCGUAAACAGGUUGACCAACUUUAGUAUGAUCAUUAUUUCACUGAAAAAUAGAUAUGUAUAUUUACCAAAAUAUUUUUCAAGAGAUGAUAAAAUUGUAAAUUCUUACUUAAUCAUGUUCGAACAUUAGCGUUAAGUAUAUAAAAUAAAAAAUAGUAAUGAUACUCUACUAAAUAAUAUAAGUAAAUCUUAGUAUAAACAUAAACUGGUAUAAACAAUAUUAUAUGAAAAAUGUUUACUCCAUUUUUGUAUAUUUUUAAAUUUUCUACUUUUUAUUAGCAUGUCUCCUUCUAAAAUAAGAUAUUGUAUAAAAUAGAUCAGUAGUAGAGUAAUAGUACCAGUAGUACCAAGGAGUAGAC